rnacentral:rRNA from 1 species
GGUCUUGCUGUCACUUAUAGAUGGAUCCGCGCUGCAUUAGCUAGUUGGUAAGGUAACGGCUUACCAAGGCAACGAUGCAUAGCCGACCUGAGAGGGUGAUCGGCCACACUGGAACUGAGACACGGUCCAGACUCCUACGGGAGGCAGCAGUAGGGAAUCUUCCGCAAUGGGCGAAAGCCUGACGGAGCAACGCCGCGUGAGUGAUGAAGGUCUUCGGAUCGUAAAACUCUGUUAUUAGGGAAGAACAUAUGUGUAAGUAACUGUGCACAUCUUGACGGUACCUAAUCAGAAAGCCACGGCUAACUACGUGCCAGCAGCCGCGGUAAUACGUAGGUGGCAAGCGUUAUCCGGAAUUAUUGGGCGUAAAGCGCGCGUAGGCGGUUUUUUAAGUCUGAUGUGAAAGCCCACGGCUCAACCGUGGAGGGUCAUUGGAAACUGGAAAACUUGAGUGCAGAAGAGGAAAGUGGAAUUCCAUGUGUAGCGGUGAAAUGCGCAGAGAUAUGGAGGAACACCAGUGGCGAAGGCGACUUUCUGGUCUGUAACUGACGCUGAUGUGCGAAAGCGUGGGGAUCAAACAGGAUUAGAUACCCUGGUAGUCCACGCCGUAAACGAUGAGUGCUAAGUGUUAGGGGGUUUCCGCCCCUUAGUGCUGCAGCUAACGCAUUAAGCACUCCGCCUGGGGAGUACGACCGCAAGGUUGAAACUCAAAGGAAUUGACGGGGACCCGCACAAGCGGUGGAGCAUGUGGUUUAAUUCGAAGCAACGCGAAGAACCUUACCAAAUCUUGACAUCCUUUGACAACUCUAGAGAUAGAGCCUUCCCCUUCGGGGGACAAAGUGACAGGUGGUGCAUGGUUGUCGUCAGCUCGUGUCGUGAGAUGUUGGGUUAAGUCCCGCAACGAGCGCAACCCUUAAGCUUAGUUGCCAUCAUUAAGUUGGGCACUCUAAGUUGACUGCCGGUGACAAACCGGAGGAAGGUGGGGAUGACGUCAAAUCAUCAUGCCCCUUAUGAUUUGGGCUACACACGUGCUACAAUGGACAAUACAAAGGGCAGCGAAACCGCGAGGUCAAGCAAAUCCCAUAAAGUUGUUCUCAGUUCGGAUUGUAGUCUGCAACUCGACUACAUGAAGCUGGAAUCGCUAGUAAUCGUAGAUCAGCAUGCUACGGUGAAUACGUUCCCGGGUCUUGUACACACCGCCCGUCACACCACGAGAGUUUGUAACACCCGAAGCCGGUGGAGUAACCUUUUAGGAGCUAGCCGUCGAAGGUGGGACAAAUGAUUGGGGUGAAGUCGUAACAAGGUAGCCGUAUCGGAAGGUGCGGCUGGAUCACCU